GCACGCAUAGCUCAGUUGGCAGAGCGCCCGUAUCACACACGAGAGGUCUCAGGUUCGAGUCCUGAUGCGUGCA
rnacentral:tRNA from 1 species